GUUUCAGCUACCGUGAACUACGAUGGUUAUAUGAUUUGGAUAUUUUGUAUAUUGCAGUUUACAGAUCAAUCCAACUAUAUUAGUAGAAGGCAUUGUCUCGAACGUCUUAAAAAUUUGUUUAAUCUAGUGAUAUCGCAGAGAAGGGAAUAUCACUUUCAGACAACUAAUAGGGUAUGCAUUCUUUAAACCAUAUAUUUAUAUGUAGUACUAUACUAAUAGAGCGAAAUACUUCAAGGUUUUGGCAUUUUUAAUAUAACAACUUUUAUGAAACAACAAAAACAAAAACAAAAACAACAUACACUUUUUUUCGAUUCGUCCGGAGUCACUUUUUUCUAAGGUUUGUUGUAAUAUUACAUCGCGAAGAAAGCAGGGAAUCCACUUCAGCGAAAAUUUAUUCGUGUGGAAAGGGGAUGGUAAAUUAUACCACUGAGACAGUAGACAUUUAUCUAACAAAAGUGUCUAUGCAAAGGCGGAUUUAGCCCGCCCCCCUUUUUUUUAGCUGGAAACAUUUGGUUUAAUAUAUAGGUCAUAACUGAAGCAUGACUGGAGCGGGCACAUCUUCGGCAGUCAAUAGGCCCCCUAACAUUUCUGGAUGUGCCACUGGUAUGUUGUCUAAAAUAAACAUCGAGAGAUCAACAUAACAUUUCAGUAAUCUAAAGUGCUUAAAUCAUCCCAUAAGAAGACAUUCUUUAUUUGAUCAGUCUUCAUGUACUGUUAUUGAAUUAUUGUCUUCCCGUUUUAUUAUUCGCCGACAGCUUUUCCGUAUGCAGUAUAAAUUCCCAUUUUCUACGCGACAUAUCAGAACACGGGAGCAAUGAGAUAUCGGUUUUUAAUUAGAUUGGUAUAAACUAUAACCAUGACACUAUCGCUCGAAAAUUGGCAAUCGCACAUAGCAAAAUCAAGGGAACACCUUUAGUUAAUGAAUUUGAAAACGUUGGAAACAUAAUUAACAAAUACAUCUCGCUCUAUCAUCUCACUUAUUUGUCACAUGUUCCAUGAUCCUGUGUUGAUUGUUUAACAAUUAGUAACGAUCGGUAGAUUUCGACAUCCAUAAGUUAGCUUGCAGGUCAAGUUGUCGAGUUACUAUUACAGAAUGAAUAUUUUGGUCUUUUACUUUGUUUGUAUUCGAAAGACUGCAGGAAGAUCCCUGUGUAUAUGACUUAGCUAAAUAUAUACAGUGGAGAUCACUUCUAACCUCUCAUCAAAUCUGUCAGAAUCUGUCAGGACAGCUGUUUUAUGACAGUGAGUAGAACUGUCAUCCUGUAACCUUUUAGACAGUUCUAGUUAGUACCGUUCUUACCUAAAACUGAUUUUGUCAGUUCUACCUAGAACUGAUUUAGACAGUUCUACGUAGAACUGAUCCUGACAGUUCUACCUGACAGUUCUAUACGGGUAGAACAGUUCUACGAUAAGAACUGAUUUGAUCAGUUCUACGGCUAGAAUUGAUUAAGUCAGUUCCAUCCAUAGACUCUUUGUGUAAAAUACAAAUAAGUCAAAAGAAUAUAAUAUCUAUUAAAAAAAUUUCUAAUCACAACACUGUUUUAACAUUUCUCGUACGGAAAAUGUCAGUGACGUCAUUUAGAGCUGUUCUACAAUUCUGACAGGUUUGGUCAGUUCUACUGCUAGAACACUUUUAGAACGGAGGACGUGUUUUUCAACAGACUAACGGCAUUCCAAUGGGAAACAAUUGUGCCCCUCUUCUUGUCGACUUGUUUCGUUAUUAUUAUAAGGCUGACUUCAUACAGGAACUUCUUAGGAAGAAAGAUAAGAAGUUAGCAUCGAACUAGAGAUAAAGGAUACAACAGAUACAGUUAAGUCGGCCUCAUGUCUUGACUUACAUCUAGAAAUUGACAAUGAGGGUCGGUUGAAAACAAAAAACUUUACGACAAAAGAGAUGGUCUUCAGCUUUCCAAUUGUGAACUUUCCAUUUAUAAUUAGAACAUUCCAGCAGCACCUCUACGGGGUAUAUAUCUCCAAAUUGAUACGAAUAUCACGUGCUUGAAUUUCCUAUCAUAUUUCUUUGCAUAGGGGUUGCUGCUCACAAGGAAGCUAUUAAAAAGAGUUCAAAUGGUAAGUUGAAAUUAUCCCUUCGGAAAUUUUACGGACGCCAUCACGAGAAUUGGUUGACCGUUAUGGAAUAACCGUUUCACAAAUGAUAUCGGAAAUGUUCCUUACGUCGUAACUGCAAUCCCCUUCCCUUUCAUGAAUGUGACCUACCGAAUUAGACUAUUUACCGUAUUUGUAAUAACAUAAGCAACACGACGGGUGCCACACGUGGAGCAGGAUCUGCUUACCCUUCCGGAUCACCUGAGAUCACCCCUAGUUUUAGGUGGGUUUCGUGUUGCUUAUGUUUUAGUUUUCUAUGCUGUGUCAUGUGUUCUAUUGUUUGUCUGUUUAUCUUCUUUCAUUUUUAGCCAGGCGUUGUCAGUUUAUUUUAGAUUUAAGAGUUUGACUGUUCCUCUGUUGUCUUUCGUCCCUCUUUUAGACAGUUCUGCUGACAGUUCUACGGUUAGAACCAAUUUAUUCAGUUCUUCUGACAGUUCUACGGUUAGAACUGAUUUGGUCAGUUCUUCUGACAGUUCCACGGUUAGAACUGAUUUAUUCAGUUCUGCUGACAGUUCUACGGUUAGAACUGAUUUGGUCAGUUCUGCUGACAGUUCUACGACAAGAACUGAUUUGGACAGUUCUGCUGACAGUUCUACGACAAGAACUGAUUUGGACAGUUCUACCUAGAACAGUUUCUGAUAGUUCUACAUAGAGAACUGAAUCUGACAUUUCUACUUAGAACAGUUCUAGGGUAGAACUGUUCUAGAACAGUUUAGAACAGUUAUAUAGUUCAGAACAGUUAUAUGACAGAUUAUUCUGAUAGUUCUAAUGAGAGGUUAGAAGUUAUUGUCACUCGUCUGCAUGAUUUCAUUGAUAAAAUAAUUUCCUCAACAUUUCAAUCACCAGAAACUCUUUUCAAAUUACUCUUUAAGACAUCACGAAAUGUUGUCAUGUUUAUCCCACUUUUCUUUUAUUCAAAAUUUUAUCAAAUACAUCUAAACCUAAACCGACCCCUACCAGCUCCCUUGAUAUUUUUUGGAUUAUAAAUCGUCAUAUAUAGCGCUUUUCUACGUACGAUCUUCCUUGCUUUUCUUCUGUGUUGUAUGGAACUAAAUUAUUACAGGGUCUUUACGGUUGUAUGAUGUUUUAAAAUACCAUAUAGCUUUAUUUGCUCUGCAGUAUUACGUUUUGUACACGAGAUUCCUAUUUCGAUGUUAUAUUGAGCUGUCACGGUCAAGCAAGGGUCAUUCUAGAGAUGACGCUUCUAGGUACAUUGUAAUAAAUUAUGACGAUAUUUGGUUUGAGACGUGAAUUUAUUUUUCGGGAAACGACAUCAGUAAGAAAAUCAUUUAUUGGAUCUUCCUAAUGUCUGGCCAUUUAGGAGUUCCCCAUUUUAUUCAUUCAUAAUUAAGAUUACAAUCAAUUUAUAAUACAUGUAGUACGUACUGUCUGGUAAAUGACCAAACAUCUUCCCUUUCCUGUGAUGUAUAUAGAUUUCCGGUACGGUUUCCUUUUCUCAUACAACCAAUUAUAAAAAAAGAUUACUACAGUAUCAAACGCAUUAAGCGAUUGAACAGACAGUGGAACUUACUUCAGCGUUUAAGAAAGGUAAGAUGGUUCUUAAUUAAUAAUUAUAGCCUGGAAAUUCAUCAUGUACUGUAUUUACAGUUGCGUAAAGUUUUCAAUCUACAAAUGUAUAAUUUAUAUUUAUAAAGAUUUGAGAAAAAAAAAUACAUGUACGAACUUCCUCAUAUUUGCGUAGAGAAAAAUGUCUUUAAAAAAUAAAAAUUCAAGUAAAUUGAGCAAUUUUACGACAUGCAACAUUGUCAUCAUUAACUGGUUUGUAACAACAUGAGAAAUACGACGGGUACCACAUGUGGAGUUGAAUCUGCUAGCCCUUCCGGAGCACCUGAUAUCAUCCCCACUUUUUGGUUGGAUUAAUGUUGUUUAGUCUUCAGUUUUCUAUUUUGUGUCUUGUGUAGUAUUAUUUGUAUUUUUGUCUUUUAGCCUUGUCGUUGUCAGUUUAUUUUCUAUCUAUGAAUUUGAAUAUCCCUCUGGUAUCCUUCGCCCUUUUUUAACGAUAUGUAUAGAAACGAUGAACUGCAAAAAUUUACUAUCUCCAUGCCUCUGUAAAACAUUUGCCGUGUUACAAAAUUAAGAGUACAGGUAUUAUUUGAUUAGAGUAUACAAAUAGUAUAAUAUUGGAAUAAUGAUGAAAGUCAAGAAUAUAUUUUCAAUCACACAAUUACAAAUGCUAUCAUAGUUUGUAUACUAAAACUACUUUAUAUUGUUGUUUUUAUCGUCAGAUUUUACUAUCCAAUCUUUUUCAAUAAAAAAAUAUUGUCUUUUGUUGAUCAUUGUUGAAGACUGUGUUUCCCUCUAAUUAUCUGUGUGUUAUGUUUGUCAUUUGGGUGCUGACUUAUUGACAAACACCCGAACAUAGUCUUUUUAUUCGUGUCAUACUUCUUUUAUUAUCUUAAAAUCCAAAGAAUCUAAAAUAUAUAUUGUGUGGUCUUAAUUCAAAUAUGUCUGGUAUGUGAUAAUACGUAAAAUAUGUAUCUUUAAUUAAAAUCUUUAAAGUUGAGCGACUUUGAUUCAACUUUUGUUUCUUUUCAUAUAUCUGAUACAUAGUUAGAAGCCCUGAGUAUAUGCAUAAACCAAUUUACGGGUUACAAUGUAAGUAUGUACAUGUGACCUUACUUCCGUUGAAAGUAGUCCCAAGUUUUUGUGGUAUGAUUUAUAUAUUAUGGCAUGUGUCGAGGUGAAGUGGAUGCUUCAAUUUAUUGUCCACUAUAAAUGUAUUAUUAGAACUCGUCAUUAGUGUCCAUAAAAGGGCUAUCUUCUACCACACAUCAAGUAUUGCUAAUUUAAUAGUACUCGUAAUUUAAUAGUACUACAGACACCGACUGGUUAAUUUCAUAGUCGGACUGUGCGUUCUAUAGUAAAAACUUAAAAUUUGAAAUUUCGCGAACUAAGGUACAUAUCAAUUCUGUGAAAUGAUGAGGAAGGAAUUAAAUAUGAGGAUAUACAAGAGUACUUUACUGUGUAUGAAACAUUCAACCUCCUUGAGACUUUAACUUCCGGACUGGUUCAAGUGGUAAACAGAAACACAAUUUAAAUUAAGGGAGCUACCAUUUGAUUUUUAUGGGGGGGCUAGGAUGAAAAAUUUUGUCCUGCAUUAUUUUUUAGUUGUAAUCUCUGUCCUGCCUUUUUAUUUUUCACUCUGUUCGGUCCUGCCUUUUUUUGUUUGUUAAUCCUGACUUUUUUUUUACCUAAAUUGUCGUCCUGACUUUUUUUUUUUUGCAAGUGUCUCAUCCUGCCUUUUUUUUUUACUCAAAACUCCUGUCCUGCCUAUUUUUUUCAAAUUUCAUCCUAGCCCCCCCUAAAAAUCAAAUGGUAGCUCCCUAAGGAAGAAAUUAUUAAAGAUUAGGAUAUCAAUCUUUUAUGCUGAAAGUUGAUAAAAAAAAAUACAGCUCUAAAGGAGGUAAGAAAGGUUAGUGAUGUUUAUGGAUUUUUAUUUAAAUUUAACAACAGAUAUGUUGCUUAGUCUUUAGUUUCUAUGUUUUUGUCUUGUGUACUAUUAUUUAUCUUUUUGGGACAUGGCGAUGUCAGUUUUUUUUAUCUACGAGUUUGAAUGACCCUCUGGUAUCAUUCGCCCCUCUUUUACAAGAUUUCGUAUAUUUUAUCAUUAUCUUUAUAGAAAAAUGUUGUUUGAAAUCCUGCUUGGAGUUGUGACAAUCACCAUCUUUAUAUUAUACGGUUACAUCACAAAAGAAAAUCUAAAAAAUCUGCCACCUGGACCGAAAGGGGUAUUUUGGUUCGGAUUAAAGAUAGAUAUCCCGAACAUGCAUUUAGACUUUACUAAAUGGUGGAAAGUUUUCGGAGAUGUAUUUGAAGUGAA
rnacentral:lncRNA from 1 species